rnacentral:rRNA from 1 species
CCUACGGGUGGCUGCAGUGAGGAAUAUUGGUCAAUGGACGAGAGUCUGAACCAGCCAAGUAGCGUGAAGGAUGAAUGCUCUAUGGGUUGUAAACUUCUUUUAUAUGGGAAUAAAAUGUUCCACGUGUGGGAUUUUGUAUGUACCAUAUGAAUAAGGAUCGGCUAACUCCGUGCCAGCAGCCGCGGUAAUACGGAGGAUCCGAGCGUUAUCCGGAUUUAUUGGGUUUAAAGGGAGCGUAGGUGGAUUGUUAAGUCAGUUGUGAAAGUUUGCGGCUCAACCGUAAAAUUGCAGUUGAAACUGGCAGUCUUGAGUACAGUAGAGGUGGGCGGAAUUCGUGGUGUAGCGGUGAAAUGCUUAGAUAUCACGAAGAACUCCGAUUGCGAAGGCAGUUCACUGGACUGCAACUGACACUGAGGCUCGAAAGUGUGGGUAUCAAACAGGAUUAGAUACCCUUGUAGUC